rnacentral:rRNA from 1 species
AACGAACGCUGGCGGCAGGCUUAACACAUGCAAGUCGAACGGGCCCUUCGGGGUCAGUGGCAGACGGGUGAGUAACGCGUGGGAACGUGCCCUUCAGUUCGGAAUAACCCAGGGAAACUUGGGCUAAGACCGGAUACGCCCUAACGGGGAAAGAUUUAUCGCUGAAGGAUCGGCCCGCGUCUGAUUAGCUGGUUGGUGAGGUAACGGCUCACCAAGGCGACGAUCAGUAGCUGGUCCGAGAGGAUGAUCAGCCACAUUGGGACUGAGACACGGCCCAAACUCCUACGGGAGGCAGCAGUGGGGAAUAUUGGACAAUGGGCGCAAGCCUGAUCCAGCCAUGCCGCGUGAGUGAUGAAGGCCUUAGGGUUGUAAAGCUCUUUCGGCGGGGACGAUAAUGACGGUACCCGCAGAAGAAGCCCCGGCUAACUUCGUGCCAGCCGCCGCGGUAAGAC